CUAGAGGUCCAGUAAGGGUCAUCUCCUAUUGAUCCAGUGUUAUUACAGGAGGAAACCUAAACUAAACUAAUUUUAUUUAUGCUGGAUAAGAGAAGCAAUGGUGCUACCACAUACCAUGCUCAACUGAUCUUUCAACAUCCUGUUCCCUAGUCCUGUUCCAUAUUUUGAGAACGAGACAUCGAGAUCUUCUUCAAAAUCAGUGAUAGAUGAAUCACGAAAGCUGUUAGCAUCGUGUAGAACAGCUUCGUCAGCCGCCUCUGUGGUCACGAUGAUUGGGGCACUCUCCUAAACACAAUUACAACUUAUACAUUUAUUCAUUUGUACAGUACGGUAGAAUGGCACUCAAAGCUCACAACUGAGAUCAUUUCCUAAUUUACACUCACAAAUCAGGGCCGACCUAACUCAGGGAUGGAUUGGGGGUGUGCAGGAUGUGCGCAGCGUGCUAGCGUUGGUAAAGGGUGUUACGGGAGUGUGGGCAGAAAAG